GAGCAACAGGGGAGGUUCUAUUUGGGUGGACAGCUAGUAUACUGAUCAACGUGGAUGGGAUGAAGUGUGAACUCCUUUUCAGAGAUAUCAGAAGAUGGGCAUAGUGACAUCUGUAAUUCUAACACUUGGGACAUAGUGACAGGAUAUCAGGAUCUACAAGCCAGCCUCUGAAACACAAGGUUUCUCUGCAUAGGAGAAGUUUGCCCUUAAACCUGAAUCAGAAAUUCAAUUUGGAGACAGCUAAGAACAUUGUAAUUUUGACAAUAUCAUGGCUUGAGGAACUGUGGUGUAAUCUGUUGUCUCUCACCUGACAUACAGAAGAUAAAGAAGUUAUCACAGACAAGAGAACGAGCUGGAAUGAUGGAGUAUCAAACAAGCGUGAGAUUUAGUUUCAGCAAAUCAUGGAUCAUUCACAGAUUAUGCAUUAAAUUGGAGAACACAAUUUUGUACUUCAGAGAG
rnacentral:lncRNA from 1 species